GAAGUUUGCUCCAGUAAUGAAGAGUGGGAGACAGACUUGCAGGGAGGUUUUUCUGGAGGGGCUGUAGCGUGAGAGAGAAGCAGGGAAGGUGCUCUGCACUCCAGCCAGAUAGAAAGGCCUGUCUGGAGCUACCUUAUGUGAGAAGCAGAAGAGAUGUUGAAGAUUGGGUGGCUACCUACAGCCAGUUGACAUCUGAGGCUGGAGAAUACUCCUGGUAUUGGCUGGAGAGGAGAACGCUGGUUGGUUGGCAGUGAUGCUUUCUUCUCUGCUGCUGUCCUCUUCGACUCAUCCUCCAUCCUGGCUUCCAAGCACUUCUCCCAUUGGCCGUAGUGAUGACCCUCACCUGGCUCUCCCUGCGCCAUUCUGCUGAUCACUACUUACUUAUGCUGGAGCACCAUGCUGAUUUCAACUGAAUUGCACCAAGAGCAGAAGCCUCAAGGAUUUUCCCCGGACACAUGAUGUUAGAACUGGAAGCUGCAACAUUUGGAGUUUGCCCCCAGUGGGAAGAAUGCGGCCGUCAUGAGAUCUGUAGGAGACAAGAGUCAGGCAAUAAAAUUGGGUUGCUCUCUCACAGUCUGAGAUGGGUGGCAUUGCUAGUCUAGCGGCAGGUGUUGUCAGGGAACCUUUGUCGGCACAGCCUGCGAGGAAUCUUCCGAGGCACAGAGAAUGUAGCUCAGCAGCACUUUCAAAGACUGGGCUGCAACUAAAUCAAUUUCCUAGUUGCUACAAGGAAUAAUGACUCCCUUGCCUCCCCAAGUCAGAGUGGCAACUAGUACUGUCCCUCUGACGUACUGGAUAGCCACACUUGGCUGUUGGAAAGACUCACCACACUUCCGUAUAAGACUUCCUGGCAGCUGAAUAGCUCUGCUUGACCAGUGGCCUCUAGUGCCAUUAUCUGUGUUUUGCUGACUUGCUAUUUGCAUCUCCCUGUUCACCUCCUUCAUUGUAGCCACACAGAAGACUGACAGGGCUGCCAUGUGUGCCAUUAUCACCCUCACUAAAUUAACCAUCACCAAAGUGUGUUACAUCCACCAUGCCUAGACCCCCCCCCCACCUCUGCAUUACUCAGUCUGCAGAAGAUGUGGUCACCCCAUUUUCCUGACCCCAUGCUAGAAUCCAUAGCUAUGUUUCUUUUACAAAGGAUGAAAUAAUCUGGACGCUGUUGCUCUCUGGAAACCAUUUAGCACAGGACGUGACUGUUAAUUUAAGUAGAUGACAGAAAUGUGAACUAAGCUGCAGAUAAAUCUUCAGGCCGGCUCUUUGGGUUUCACUCUCUGUUGUUUACACAUUACAAAAAUAAUCACAAUGUAUUGAUUUCUGAAGCCCUGAAUAUUUUGGUUGGGACUUGCUUCUCUCUUACUGCAUGUCGAUGGCAGAUGGUUCUACUGUUCCACGAGUAUCACCUUUCAGAGCUACUGCAAGUGAGACACAGAUGUUGCUAGGUCUCAGGUAAAGCCAUCAAAGAUGGAGGUUCAAUCAAGUUUGACAUCAUCUUCCACUGAAAUCAACCUGAAGGCAAAUGGCUUGGUUUUGAUUAGCAGCCUGCGGGGUUGUGCCUAACCUAUAUUGGGAUUGCUGCUGCUACUUUACCUGAAUUGCAAAAAUCACAGAUGGUAAUUAUAACGAUAAGUGCUUACAGAUUUCCUAACAACAAAGAUAAUUUGUUUGCUCUAUGCCUUGUUAGAAGGGGAAUUUUGUUCUGGUAACUGGGUGGCUUGUGAAUCAGCCAUUGGCCUUUCACCUCUCUGUCCCCAGCUUGACUGCAGCCCCAAACACACAGUGAUUAGACACUGAUCUGACGAGAAGGGUCUUGUGAAAGCUUUAGGUAGGAGUCUACUGUUCUCUGCUCCCCCUCUACAAUCUUUCUUUGGCCAAAAGUGACGUGGAGCCAAAGACAAUUAUGGCAAUGCUGCAGAAGUCCUGGCCUCUUUGGAAGAGAGGAUCCCUCCAUAGAAGAAGACUCUGGGAUCUUUACGCCAACUCAUUGCCCUGUGCCUCCCAUUGAAGAAGGCUGUUGGAUUUGUUUCCUGUAGCAUUGCCAACUUCUCUUGCUGGAAACAGCAUCCAUAGGAAUCUGAAGAAAUUUCAUCCAAUGAUGGAUAGAGGUUCACGUUCCAGCGGUAGGGCUGAUCAUGUGAAAUGUUCAUUCUCCAUGGCUUGGGAUUUUGAUAGCCCAGUUUGGGAAAGCAUCCUUUCCUAUCAUGCCAUUGUGGGAGGUUUGUGGUGACUGCCCCUGGGUGCAGGGGACACUGCAGGAAGGUGGAAAGCCCAGCAUUUGAUUGGCGAGCCAAGGAGCGUCCAGUGAAAGGAGAGAGAAGAGACAGCCGAAGGGGAAUGGGCAAUGGUGGCUCAAUGUUGAUUGGGAAUAAAUAGUGAAACUAGAAAGCAGAUGCAGGGACCCUGUCCCUGUUCCCCAAAG